rnacentral:lncRNA from 1 species
CUCAAUUUAAACAAGCGAAAAAAAAAACACAUCUUGGAUCCCGUAUUUAACACAUGAAACGGAAACAUGCAUUGAUUGGUUGGUUGGUUGGUUGGUUGGUUGGUUGGUUGGUUGGUUGGUUAAACAUGUUGGUUAAACAUAUUGGUUAAACACGUUGGAUAGGCUCAAUUUAAACAAGCGAAAAAAAAACACAUCUUGGAUCCCGUAUUUAACACAUGAAACGGAAACAUGCAUUGAUUGGUUGGUUGGUUUGUUAAACACGUUGGUUGAACAUGUUGGUUAAACACGUUGGUUAAACAUAUUGGUUAAAUAUGUUGGUUAAACACGUUUGAUAGGCUCAAUUAAAACAAGCGAAAAAAGAGAC